rnacentral:lncRNA from 1 species
UGGCCAAAUUUCCGUAUAUAUGCAGUUUCAUAGUUUGAUACUUUCCCGCAUCAUUACCUUGAAUUGAUCCCACCUCAUAACUCCUUCAGAAUCCGAUUGUUUCUUAUUCCACCACUCCUUCAGAUUAAAAUGCACGAAUAUAAAUGAGCUCUAUUAACUAAUGAAAUAGAGAACGUACAAGAGUUUCCAGCCUAUCCUCUGUCCGUCCUCCAGCUGUCCCUCUAUACCAAACCUACGAGCCAAAUCAUGGGUUGGUAUUCUGCUGUAAGUGGUCAUUCUGUGAGAAGCAAACCGAAGUUGGUGAAGAUGAUGCGUCUUUCUAUAUAUUUUUUUAGCAUUUGGGCUAUUCCACAUCUUCAAACAGGUUUCCAUGCUAUAAGGUCCCUCCCUCUCAUUGAAGAAGGAUUGACCUAAGCAGUACCAAAAAGAGAUAAUAAAAUCUUAUAGGCUCUUAGGUGCCUCUAAUCAUGACCUUGCCAUUAAAUUAACUCCAUUUUGACCACUUAUUUGCCUUGCAUAGGUGACAACACUGAUGCUCUGAGUCUGAGAUAGUGCAAGUGUUUUUACCUCAAACCAACUCCAUUUUGACCGAGUAUU